CUGGGAAGUUACAAAUUAAAUUCCACUUUGCACGGCACUUGGGAGCCAUCAUCUAACACAAACAGAUUGGGAGUGGUACAAAUAACACCACGAGGAAAGGCUUUCGACUGAAGCAGAGCAUAAGUGGAAAUAUGCCUGGUCUACAGAUCAAGCCCCCUGCACGGUUACACACUGACUACUUCAUAGCCAGUACGGAUGGAGAAAGAGAGCAGUUCCAGGGUCCCAGAACCUGCUUUGGACUGUCUUCCCCGAAAGGCCUAAUUUCUCAUUUCUGUUCCUCCCUGUUAUUGGAACAUUAUACAGUGGGUUGUA